GAUGAACGCUGGCUACAGGCUUAACACAUGCAAGUCGAGGGGAAACGCCGGGGAAGCUUGCUUCCCCGGGCGUCGACCGGCGCACGGGUGAGUAACGCGUAUCCAACCUGCCUCUGACUGAGGGAUAACCCGUCGAAAGUCGGCCUAAUACCUCAUGGCAUCGUCUGCGGGCAUCCAACGACGAUUAAAGAUUUCAUCGGUCAGGGAUGGGGAUGCGUCUGAUUAGCUUGUUGGUGGGGUAACGGCCCACCAAGGCUACGAUCAGUAGGGGUUCUGAGAGGAAGGUCCCCCACAUUGGAACUGAGACACGGUCCAAACUCCUACGGGAGGCAGCAGUGAGGAAUAUUGGUCAAUGGGCGGGAGCCUGAACCAGCCAAGUAGCGUGCAGGAUGACGGCCCUAUGGGUUGUAAACUGCUUUUAUGCGGGGAUAAAGUGAGGGACGUGUCCUUCAUUGCAGGUACCGCAUGAAUAAGGACCGGCUAAUUCCGUG
rnacentral:rRNA from 1 species